ncrna:unclassified sequences freshwater-2 RNA
AGUUGCAAUCAUGCAAUGGACUUAUGCUGUUUAACCCACAGCGUACCGGAUAGAACCCGGAUAGGACUACUUAUAUAGGAGAAAACAAAUG